CUGAGCUGGAAGUAGGACGCUCAACCGACUCAACUACCCAGGCAAGGAAGAAUGGGAGAGAGAGACCAAGAAAUGGAGAGACAAAACUUCUAUGUGCCAAAAAUAAAGAAGACUCUCAUAACCAACGUCACAUGUAUGAUGAGUAUCUGAGGACAGUUCGCUCUGCAUCAGACCUCCACAAGCCCGAGAGCGUGUGAGGAGAAUGAACACGAGAGCAUUCGGUGAUACACAAUUCCUAUCAUGCUUGAUACUUUAUAUUACAUUCAGAAACACACCUUAGGACACUAACAGCAGAGUUUUAGCCUAGGUUGCUUUUAUGGUCAUCUGUUCUCAGACUACUGGUUGUUUAACUGCUGUAAUAGAGGCUAGUUCUACACUAAAGUAAUACUCAGAGAUGUUCAUUCCAGCAUUAUAUAUGUGUAGGUAAAAACCUGGAAGACUCCAGAAGGGAUGGAGGGCAGUGAGGUUUUGUCACAUUGUUUUGGGUGCAUGUAGUAAUUGGUUUGCUUUUUGGCUUGACCUCCUUAUACUUUAUGCUUCUCCCCUUUCCUUAGAGAAUGUUGACGUAAAUAGUGUAUCCCCCUGACAGAAUUAUGCUGGUAGAAAAAUGAUAUUUUGAACAGAUAGUUCACAGCAAGAAUAAGAAAGUACCAUACACACAAAUAUUUAACUUCAUAAGUAAUAAAAUAAAAUUCCAUUUUCUUUCAUUAGAUUAAUUUGAGGGGGCACUAUUUCUUGCUGUUCGUAGUAUAAAUUGUAUAUACUUCCUGGAUAGAAGUUUGGUGACAUAUAGGCAAACUCUUAAAAAUUUACAUAGAUUUUUUUUUUCUUGCUGACCAAUUCUGU